UUUUGUUUCCUAGAAUCAUGCCCACCGCGCACGCGCAUACAAACUCCUGCAUGCACUUUUUUCGAUGGACGUUCAACCUGCUUUUGGCAUACCGAACGCCAAACCCCAUCUCCCAGGAAUAUAGGUUGUAAAAUUCAUACGCUUCUUCAACCGUGUCAAAGCUAGUUCCGAGCGACGGGUUAACAACUGUGCCACCCUUGUUUUCUGCAUAAGCUCUCAUCGAAGCCUCGAGGGCAGGGACUCUGCUUGGGUUGGCAUCCCUCUCUUCUGGCAAUUUGAUGGAGUUCCAAAUUUCUGGCCCUACAGCAAAAAACGAUGUCCUGGAGGUACAAUUUCUGUUCCAGCAGCAAAUCAAUACCAUAUGAGUGUGUGUUUCUUACCGUCGAGUCCAACAUGAAGCCUUUGUUUUGUUGACAACGACGCCUUCUGCAUCUCCCUCCUCUCCUAUUGAUGCAGAGGAAGUGUUCUGAGCCUUCACAUCGUUCGAGUCGCCAACGACCUCGCUCACACCGUUGUUGUAUGAC